rnacentral:rRNA from 1 species
CACUCCUACGGGAGGCAGCAGUGGGGAAUAUUGCACAAUGGGCGGAAGCCUGAUGCAGCAACGCCGCGUGCGGGAUGACGGCCUUCGGGUUGUAAACCGCUUUCGCCUGUGACGAAGCGUGAGUGACGGUAAUGGGUAAAGAAGCACCGGCUAACUACGUGCCAGCAGCCGCGGUGAUACGUAGGGUGCGAGCGUUGUCCGGAUUUAUUGGGCGUAAAGGGCUCGUAGGUGGUUGAUCGCGUCGGAAGUGUAAUCUUGGGGCUUAACCCUGAGCGUGCUUUCGAUACGGGUUGACUUGAGGAAGGUAGGGGAGAAUGGAAUUCCUGGUGGAGCGGUGGAAUGCGCAGAUAUCAGGAGGAACACCAGUGGCGAAGGCGGUUCUCUGGGCCUUUCCUGACGCUGAGGAGCGAAAGCGUGGGGAGCGAAGAGGCUUAGAAACCCUAGUAGUCCCAUG